ensembl:lncRNA
GGGCAAAUGUAUGAAGUGCUGACCCAAGAGCCUGGAGAAUUAGAGUUUAGGCUCAGAAAAUAAUCUGCAUUUUGUGGUGUAGCCCUUCUCUUCUCUGAAAUGUUGACAGAUUGCUUGGUUUUCACUUUUUUUAUGUGUCCCAGGUGGUGCUGGGACAUGUCAGACCACAGGGUAGCUUGUAGUCACGGGACAAACCAUAGGUAAUUUGGCAGGAUAACAUUAAAAAGCAAGAGGAGGAAACUAUAAAUUCAGAGUGUAACCACCAUAAAGUAUUCUCUUAAUUCCCAGCCAACCUCUUAAAACCACAGAUAGCUCUUCCCUUGCCCAUAAGAUGACUUUCCCUCCCCGUAGGACGUUGUGUUACGGCUCAGACAACAAAGCACUGCAGGAGCAGUGGUGCUGAUGGAUUUCAGAUGUGUUUCAAGACCCGAUGGAGGUUCUGCCCUUUCACAUGCUGGACCUCUCUCCUGUGCGGUAGCAAAGGUUUGGUGUCUCAUAGCCCUGUUUCAUUUCUCAGUGUUUUCUUGAGGACUUCAUGUCAUCCCUCCUCUUCCCUUUUGAUUGGAGAGGACAAGCCAUGUGUCUUUAGAGGUGGAUAUGAAUCAUAACCCAGAGGCAGCAACAACUCCCAUGGCAACAUCCAAGAACAUUUACCAGGCUCGUUUCUGGGAAAAUGACAAAUAUGAGCUACAUGUGAGCCUGAGAUCUGCUUUCCAGUCCUUCCUUGUGUCUCCUAUGUAUUAGACCAACACAUUGUCUGCGUUCAAUUUUACACAUUCUGCCUUCUGAAUCGAACAAAAUCCUCAGAACUGCACUGUUUUCUUAGACUAAUGAAUUCUUUGAGAGGGGUAAAAAUCACCUCAGUAAUAAAUCCAAACUGUGAAGGCCUGAUGUAUCUGUUUUUCUGUUCACCUCCACUGCUGCUAGACAGCAUUAGCCCUCACCUAAUACAGAGCGCAGACUUGAUACAACCUUGUUUAGCACAAUUGGUUUGAAUCCAUUAUAUUGACAAUAUCAAUUUGUGUAAUUCCUGCAUUAGGAUUUUCAGCUAAACUGUAUUUGAAAGGAGCUGUUGACCUUGAUUAGCUCUUUAAUUGUGGUUAAAAUCCAAAGUAAUUCAGAUACCAGCCUUGACUGUGGAAGGGAAGGGCCAUGCCAUGUGAUGGCACAGUCAAUAACUGCUGCGUUCCCCACGGACAGAGCUCCCAUGUUAUAUUGGCUG